UGCCAGCCGCCGCGGUAAUACGGAGGGUGCGAGCGUUAAUCGGAAUUACUGGGCGUAAAGCGCGCGUAGGCGGUUACGUAAGUCGGAUGUGAAAGCCCAGGGCUUAACCUUGGAAUUGCAUUCGAAACUGUGUAACUAGAGUAUGUGAGAGGGGAGUGGAAUUUCCGGUGUAGCGGUGAAAUGCGUAGAUAUCGGAAGGAACACCAGUGGCGAAGGCGACUCCCUGGCACAAUACUGACACUGAGGUGCGAAAGCGUGGGGAGCAAACAGGAUUAGAUA
rnacentral:rRNA from 1 species